GAGGGUAUAGCUCAAGUGGUAGAGCACAUGCUUAGCAUGCACGAGGUCCUGGGUUCCAUCCCCAGGACCUCCU
rfam:Camelus ferus unplaced genomic scaffold scaffold1294, whole genome shotgun sequence.